rnacentral:rRNA from 1 species
UGGCUGCAGUCGCGAAACCUUUACAAUGCGCGCAAGCGUGAUAGGGGGAUUUCGAGUGCAAGCUUUGCUUGCUUUUGCCAAGUUUAAAACGCUUGGCGAAUAAGUGGGGGGCAAGAUACGUGCCAGCCGCCGCGGUAAUACGUACCCCACAAGUGGUGUCCACUAAUAUUGGGCCUAAAGCGCCUGUAGCCGGCUUAACGCGUCCUUGGUGAAAGCCAAUAGCUCAACUAUUGGAAGAGCCAAAGAUACGGUUAGGCUUGAGGUCGGAAGAGGUCAAGGGAAUGUCCGGGGUAACGGUGAAAUGUUGUGAUCCCGGAUGGACCACCAGUAGCGAAGGCGCUUGACCAGAACGAACCUGACGGUGAGAGACGAAAGCUGGGGGAGCGACCCGGAUUAGAUACCCUAGUAGUC